AUGAACGCUGGCGGCGUGCCUAAUACCUGCAAGUCGAGCGAACAGAUGAGGAGCUUGCUCCUCUGACGUAGCGGCGGACGGGUGAGUAACACGUGGAUAACCUACCUAUAAGACUGGGAUAACUUCGGGAAACCGGAGCUAAUACCGGAUAAUAUAUUGAACCGCAUGGUUCAAUAGUGAAAGACGGUUUUGCUGUCACUUAUAGAUGGAUCCGCGCCGCAUUAGCUAGUUGGUAAGGUAACGGCUUACCAAGGCAACGAUGCGUAGCCGACCUGAGAGGGUGAUCGGCCACACUGGAACUGAGACACGGUCCAGACUCCUACGGGAGGCAGCAGUAGGGAAUCUUCCGCAAUGGGCGAAAGCCUGACGGAGCAACGCCGCGUGAGUGAUGAAGGUCUUCGGAUCGUAAAACUCUGUUAUUAGGGAAGAACAAAUGUGUAAGUAACUAUGCACGUCUUGACGGUACCUAAUCAGAAAGCCACGGCUAACUACGUG
rnacentral:rRNA from 1 species